rnacentral:rRNA from 1 species
AGCAGCCGCGGUAAUUCCAGCUCCAAUAGCGUAUAUUAAAGUUGUUGCAGUUAAAAAGCUCGUAGUUGAAUUUCGGGAUCAAUUUGUUGGUCGUGCCUCGGUACGUACUGGCAUUAUUGGUUUCUACCUUCUGAAGAACCUUGAUGUCAUUAAUUUGGUGUCUUGGGGAAUCAGGACUGUUACUUUGAAAAAAUUAGAGUGUUUAAAAGCAGGCAUACGCUUGAAUACAUUAGCAUGGAAUAAUGAAAUAGGACGUUUGAAUUCUAUUUUGUUGGUUUCUAGGAUCGACGUAAUGAUUAAUAGGGAUAGUUGGGGGCAUUAGUAGUUCAAUUGUCAGAGGUGAAAUUCUUGGAUUUAUUGAAGACUAACUACUAGCGAAAAGCAAUUUGCCAAGGAUGUUUUCAUUAAUCUAAGAACGAAAGUUAGGGAUCGAAAGACGAUCAGAUACCGUCUAGUCUUAACCAUAAACUAUGCCGUACUAGGGAUCGGAUGAUGUUAUUUUUAAUGUACUCUAUUCGGACGCCUUACGGGAAACCAAGGUUAC